rnacentral:misc_RNA from 1 species
AACGCACGAGACCUGCGGACCUGCGGAAGGAUCAUUACAGAGUUACUACUCCAAACCCAUUGUGAACCUUACCUAUGUUCUGUUGCCUCGGCGGCGCGGUCAGCGCCCCUCUGAAAAGAGGACGAUGCCCUCCCGCCGGCAGCACCAAACUCUUGAAUUUUACAGCGGAUUACAGUUCUGAUUUAAAAACAAAAAAAACAAGUUAAAACUUUCAACAAUGGAUCUCUAGAUCGGAAGAGC